rnacentral:rRNA from 1 species
AUACGGAGGAUGCGAGCGUUAUCCGGAUUUAUUGGGUUUGAAGGGAGCGUAGGCGGGAGCUUAAGUCAGCGGUUAAAUGGUGCGGCUCAACCGUGCCCUGCCGUUGAAACUGGGUUUCUUGAGAGUGCAAUAGGCGGAUGGGAUUCAUGGUGUAGAGGGAGAAUGCUUAGAUAUCAUGAAGAACUCCGAUUGCGAAGGCAGUCCGCUGGGGCACGUCUGACGCUGAUGCUCGAAGGUGCGGGAAUCAAACAGGGUUAGAUACCCUGGUAGUCCGCACGGUAAACGAUGAUUACCCGCUGUCGGCGGUAGACAGUCGGCGGCCAAGCGAAAGCGAUAAGUAAUCCACCUGGGGAGUACGCCGGCAACGGUGAAACUCAAAUGAAUUGACGGGG